rnacentral:rRNA from 1 species
UGGGGAAUCUUGCGCAAUGGGCGAAAGCCUGACGCAGCCAUGCCGCGUGAGUGAUGAAGGCCUUAGGGUUGUAAAACUCUUUCACCGGGGACGAUAAUGACGGUACCCGGAGAAGAAGCCCCGGCUAACUUCGUGCCAGCAGCCGCGGUAAUACGAAGGGGGCUAGCGUUGCUCGGAAUUACUGGGCGUAAAGGGCGCGUAGGCGGAUCAGCAAGUUGGGGGUGAAAGCCCGGGGCUCAACCUCGGAAUUGCCUUCAAAACUGCUGAUCUAGAGUACGGGAGAGGUGUGUGGAACUCCGAGUGUAGAGGUGAAAUUCGUAGAUAUUCGGAAGAACACCAGUGGCGAAGGCGACACACUGGCCCGUUACUGACGCUGAGGCGCGAAAGCGUGGGGAGCAAACAGGAUUAGAUACCCUGGUAGUCCACGCUGUAAACGAUGAUUGCUAGUUGUCGGCAGGCAUGCCUGUCGGUGACGCAGCUAACGCAUUAAGCAAUCCGCCUGGGGAGUACGGUCGCAAGAUUAAAAACUUAAAUG